GUCGAACAGCCGACUCAUAACUGGUACGGACAAGGGGAAUCCGACUGUUUAAUUAAAACAAAGCAUUGCGAUGGUCCUCGCGGAUGCUGACGCAAUGUGAUUUCUGCCUAGUGCUCUGAAUGUCAAAGUGAAGAAAUUCAACCAAGCGCGGGUAAACGGCGGGAGUAACUAUGACUCUCUUAAGGUAGCCAAAUGCCUCGUCAUCUAAUUAGUG
rnacentral:rRNA from 1 species